AGCAGUAGCCGCGGUAAUACGGAGGGUGCAAGCGUUAAUCGGAAUUACUGGGCGUAAAGCGCACGCAGGCGGUCUGUCAAGUCAGAUGUGAAAUCCCCGGGCUUAACCUGGGAACUGCAUUUGAAACUGGCAGGCUAGAGUCUUGUAGAGGGGGGUAGAAUUCCAGGUGUAGCGGUGAAAUGCGUAGAGAUCUGGAGGAAUACCGGUGGCGAAGGCGGCCCCCUGGACAAAGACUGACGCUCAGGUGCGAAAGCGUGGGGAGCAAACAGGAUUAGAUACCCGUGUAGUCCCUGUCUCUUAUAC
rnacentral:rRNA from 1 species